GCCGUAGCUCAGUGGCAAAGCAUCAGCCUUGCAUGGAGAAGGUUCUAGGUUCAAUCCCCGAUAUCUCCA